CCUACGGGAGGCAGCAGUGAGGAAUAUUGGUCAAUGGACGAGAGUCUGAACCAGCCAAGUAGCGUGAAGGAUGACUGCCCUAUGGGUUGUAAACUUCUUUUAUAUGGGAAUAAAACGUUCCACGUGUGGGAUUUUGUAUGUACCAUAUGAAUAAGGAUCGGCUAACUCCGUGCCAGCAGCCGCGGUAAUACGGAGGAUCCGAGCGUUAUCCGGAUUUAUUGGGUUUAAAGGGAGCGUAGGUGGUUUGUUAAGUCAGUUGUGAAAGUUUGCGGCUCAACCGUAAAAUUGCAGUUGAAACUGGCAGUCUUGAGUACAGUAGAGGUGGGCGGAAUUCGUGGUGUAGCGGUGAAAUGCUUAGAUAUCACGAAGAACUCCGAUUGCGAAGGCAGUUCACUGGACUGCAACUGACACUGAGGCUCGAAAGUGUGGGUAUCAAACAGGAUUAGAUACCCCAGUAGUC
rnacentral:rRNA from 1 species